CCAGCAACAAGCUUUUCAUGCUCUGCCUACACCUCAUAUGUUAGGCAUAAUCUAUUGGCCAUCCUCUCUGCAAUGGUCAUUUUACCAUAGCUAUCAAUAGCUAUAUUUGUUGUUGCUGCUUGCAACUAUGUUAUUUAUUUCUUGUUCUUACACUGAGUUCAGAGAGAACAUCAGAAGAGACCAGAGUCUGAUAUUCCCGGUGUUCAGUCUGCUCAGAAUUGUCCAGUGGACCUGUCCUCAAUAUUCAGGUCACGUGAGGAUGAUGUAACUUUUGUGAGGGAUGAGCUGAAAAAAAACUGCAUUGUUGGUUAAGGGUUGUAAAGAGUGAAAGUGGAGAGGUCAACAUCAAGUGAGACAGCAUCAAAGAAACCAGCGACACAGAUGCCUGCAGACUCAGAUUGGACCCAGUGACAGCGUGCACACUCCUCUUUCUGUAUGAGAACAGAAUAUUUACAUUGUUGGGAGAGGAGCAGCCAUAUCCUGACCAUCCAGAAAUGUUUGAGCACUCACAAUAUGCUGUGUAGAGAGUCUGACUGGAUGCUGCUCCUGGGUGACAGAGUGAAGAGGAUGGGCUCAUGUAGGAGUGACAUAUGAAAGAAUCAGAAGGAAAGGAGAGCAUGAUGACCAUCUCCACUAUGACGCAUCCUGGAUUCUUAAGUGCCCUGGUGGCAAUUAUACUGCCUGUCAUAAUAGGAAGAAUUCUGACAUGCAUGUCUUCUACUCUCGCUCCGACACAGUAGGAGUGUAUCUGGACAGAGUCUAUUGUAACACAUUGAUCCACCUGCACACAUAAUACCCGACAGUCACUGAGCCUCUCUACCCAGGGGUUUGGUUUGGCGUUCACUCCUCAGUGUCCCUGUGCCAAGUAGAACUCUGCGUCCUGUGUCCAGAAGGAACACCUUCAGGAAAGUUACACUCCUGUUCAAACACAACUGUGGGACAUGAUGGGGCACUUUUGGCUUUCAUCAUGGCAGACAGCGGAGCGUUGUACUUGUCUAGUCCAUUCAGUGCAGAUUUGAAUAACCCCUACAUUUUUCUAGAGACAUGGGUUGGACACGUAGCCUCGGGAAGUACGGGUGCUGAAGGUGCUGCAGCACCCCCUGGUAGUGAGAUUGUAAAACUGUAAGAAUUUGUGUCGCAAUAAAAAACGAUUAAACCAUUUUUCUGCUGUAUUAUUGAUAUAAAUAAUAAUUGGAUUGGGGUAGGGGAGAGAAAAAAACAUUUGAUAUUUAUAUAUGGGGCCCAUUCCGCAUGGAGAGCUCUCAUCUCUGUUUUGUAAUCGGUUUGCUCGUGAUAUUCUGGUGAAGCUGUGGG
rnacentral:lncRNA from 1 species